GUUUGCUUCUGGACAGCUGGGCUGGAAGCUGAGUGGACCAGAAAGGGGGCGUGUCGUCGGAGAGUGUGACCGGCCCCCUCUUCAGUUUGUGGUCCUGUUAGAUGCUGGGUACUUUUGCAGCCGCGGAAGCCUAAGAGACACCACCAGAGGAUGGCAGUGGCAUCUGGAGGAGGAUUGGAGCUAGCUGAAAGGAGUCCUGCCCACUAUCUGCAGAGGGAAGCUAGCAGUGGGGCUGCACCUUGGUAGUCAGGUGCUGGGUGCUGUCUGCCUUUUGCAUGAAGAGGAGAGACUUUUAAAACUGCCUGAAAAUGAAUCCAGAAUGAGUGAGACUCCCUCCAACUGAACAGGAGUUGUCAGGCCAGAGAUGUAUCUGCCAGACAGAGAACAAGAUACAUCAUAGGCAUUGGUGAUGGAAGCUUCCUUAUGCUGCUCACUACAGUCUGUCAACCCUCACCUCAAGGGACUAUGGAAAUGAUCCAAUACAGUGAAAUCAACAGGAGCCUUUCCAUUGAAUUCCAUGGGCACUGGAUCAAACCCUGUAAGUAGGUGUAAGAGGGUAGCUCAUUUCUGUCUCCAUUCAAUCAUUUGUCUCUCUGCUGAGAUUACCAAUAAGGAGGCCAGUUAGUUCCUGUUGUGAUGUAAACAGGAGUCCAUUGCAAAACGGCUGGAGACCAAACAGCUAAUUCUGCGUAGGCCAAAGAGCCAUCAGAUGGUAACAAUUUAUGAUUAGUGCUAACUGAAAUUACUUUCAUGUGCAUUGUGUAUUCUGGUAUUAUACAAUUUAGUUCAGUUAAAAGGUCCUUCAUGUAAAGGCAAGUAAUUUUAUUUAUUCUUUUUUAAAUUAGAAAUGACAAAAACCUGCAGACAGAGGCUGGCAGGAAUUUAGCACCUUUAAUAGUGAAGCACAUGACAUACAGAGAAGCUAAUGAAAUAUUAUUUACACUUAAUUCCAAAGACAACAAAACAUCCAAACUACAGACAGACUGUGGGCUCGAUGUUUUGUGGCUCCUAUGUUGAUACAUACCAUCUGAUGAUCUUGCCCACAUAUGAAUCCCCUUUAUAGGGUGAUUGCUUUUUGUGAUACAAGCAAGGCUGCAGUGCUACUUGCAGUAAAUAGCUCUCUUUCUUCAAGCCACAAGAAACUGUCACAUCUGCCAACCUUCAGCAGACUGAGCAGGGACUGUUAUUCAUUUUAGUGCCCAACUGCAUUAUAUUUACCCUGGCUAUAAUAUUCUCUAUUACCACUGAAAAUGUUUGGCUCCCAAAGAAAAAAAGAAGGAAUUGUGUCAAAGGUCCAAAUUCCUCCCUGAGAUGUGAAUAAUUUUCAGUGACUUUAAUGGGAGCUGUGCACAUGAAUUUCUAGAUGGAAUCUGACUCCAAAGCCCACCCAUUUAUACUGGAUUUUUUCAGCAGGACUUUUUCAUAUUAGUUUAUUAAACAUACUUUAAUCUCAAUGGGCUGAAUCUUUGGGCCCUCUUGCAUCUGCUUUGGAUGGUGGUGACAUGCAAAGGAACUGAAGAACUGCACUAAAGGGGAGGCUGAGAAUUUCUUCUGACAGGGGAAUCCUCAAGUGGCGCAAACCUGGUGUAGCUGGUUCUAUAUCUUCUGCUCUCCCCCGCCACAUGGGAGCCUGUUGGAGUAGUGUAUGGUGUUCCAUUAGAUCUGCAGCUAUCCUAACUCAGAACAUCUUCAGGCUGUUCCAAGAAACACUAAGGGUUGUUUUGGUCCCUGACUAGGGUGACCAGAUGUCCCAUUUUUAUAUGGACAGUCCUGUUUUUUGGGAUCUUUUCUUAUAUA